rnacentral:rRNA from 1 species
GCAUAUCAAUAAGCGGAGGAAAAGAAAAUAACAAUGAUUCCCCUAGUAAUUGCGAAUGAAGAGGGACAAGCUCAAAUUUUAAAUCCAUCGGGUUUUUUACCCGAUCGAGUUGUAAUUUGAAGAAGCGUUUUCUGUGUUUCUGAUCAGUCCAAGUCCUUUGGGAUAAGGCAUCAUGGAGGGUGAGAAUCCCGUCCGGUUGAUCAGAUUCGCUUUACGAUACGCUUUCUAAGAGUCAAGUUGUUUGGGAUUGCAGCUUAAAAUGGGAGGUAAAUUUCUCCUAAGGCUAAAUAACGGCGAGAGACCGAUAGCGAACAAGUACCGUGAGGGAAAGAUGAAAAGAACUUUGAAAAGAGAGUUAAACAGUACGUGAAAUUGUUGAAAGGGAAACGAUUGAAGCCAGUCGUACCUUCGGGUAAUCAGCCUUUCGGGUGCGAUUAUGUGGAGUGUGAGGAGCUUAAACACCUUCAUGUUUUGCAUAUUCGUACUCUUGGGUGUACUUGCCCGUGUGGUUGGUUAACAUCAAUUUUGGUGGUCAUAAAACGACUGGAGGAAUGUAGCUUCGAUCUCGUAUUGAAGUGUUAUAGCCUUCGGUAGAUGUGAUGAUCGAGAUUGAGGAUUGCAACGGAUACCCUUCGGGGCUACCUGUCUGAUCUCUGAUCGUUGUUCUGGUGCCGAAAGCUUGCUUACGGUUAUCAAAGUCGAUGGUCAAUAGGUUAGAACGGGUUAAAUUCGUUAAGGAUGUUGACGUAAUGGCUUUAAACGAC